GUGAGGAAUAUUGGUCAAUGGGCGAGAGCCUGAACCAGCCAAGUCGCGUGAAGGAUGAAGGUUUUAUGAAUUGUAAACUUCUUUUGCAGGGGAAUAAAGUACGGUACGUGUACCGUUUUGUAUGUACUCUGCGAAUAAGGAUCGGCUAACUCCGUGCCAGCAGCCGCGGUAAUACGGAGGAUCCAAGCGUUAUCCGGAUUUAUUGGGUUUAAAGGGUGCGCAGGCGGGUUGAUAAGUCAGCGGUGAAAGUUUGCAGCUUAACUGUAAAAAUGCCGUUGAAACUGUCGGACUUGAGUGUAAAUGAGGUAGGCGGAAUGCGUGGUGUAGCGGUGAAAUGCAUAGAUAUCACGCAGAACUCCGAUUGCGAAGGCAGCUUACUAAGCUACAACUGACACUGAAGCACGAAAGCGUGGGGAUCAAACAGGAUUAGAUACCCGGGUAGUCC
rnacentral:rRNA from 1 species